UUUGCUGGGGGAGGUCUUGUUUAUGGAACCAAGGAAGGGAAACUUAGGGUCCUUCGAUUUGAUGGUGCUCAUGGUGUGAAUUGCUGUAGACCAAAUUAUUCUCCAGAAGAUAACUUGGCUGAGGUCCAGACAUAUGCACUAGAAGGUUAGAAACCCACUGUUAUGCUUCCAAUGUGUGAACCGUGAACCAUGAAAAUCUACUUGGAUGAAGAAGAGUCUUGGUUAUGGAUGAGGCUCAAAUUAAACAUAUGGGUGAGUUUGAAUACGCUUAAACUUGGCAGCAUUCCCUACUGAUAGGAAUCUUGAUACCUGGUUUGAAUCAGAUGUGACCAACUGUUGGGUUCUUCACUUGCCCAUUUUCCCCCUCCAGCAUCCAGCAGCAAACUCUAGGAAUGUAUUCUAAUUUUUAUGUUAGGAAAUGUAAAAUAUUGUGUCUCAGUAAUGAACUAUUACAAGUUUGUUUGCUUUUCCCAUUUUCCAAUCCUGCUUUUUCUCAUCUUCCGGCAGAAUGUUUAAAAUGUAUUGAUUACCAAUCGAACAG
rnacentral:misc_RNA from 1 species